rnacentral:rRNA from 1 species
CGUGUAGGCGGCCAGAAAAGUCCGCUGUGAAAACUCGAGGCUCAACUUCGAGCUGUCGGUGGAAACUUUCUGGCUAGAGUCCGGAAGAGGAGAAUGGAAUUCCUGGUGUAGCGGUGAAAUGCGCAGAUAUCAGGAAGAACACCCGUGGCGAAGGCGGUUCUCUGGGACGGUACUGACGCUGAGACGCGAAAGCGUGGGGAGCGAACA